rnacentral:rRNA from 1 species
UACAGAGGUCUCAAGCGUUGUUCGGAUUCAUUGGGCGUAAAGGGUGCGUAGGCGGCGCGGUAAGUCACUUGUGAAAUCUCUGAGAUUAACUCAGAACGGCCAAGUGAUACUGCAGUGCUAGAGUGUGGAAGGGGCAAUCGGAAUUCUUGGUGUAGCGGUGAAAUGCGUAGAUAUCAAGAGGAACACCUGAGGUGAAGACGGGUUGCUGGGCCAACACUGACGCUGAUGCGCGAAAGCCAGGGGAGCAAACGGG